rnacentral:rRNA from 1 species
GACGAACGCUGGCGGCGUGCUUAACACAUGCAAGUCGAACGGAAAGGCCCUGCUUUUGUGGGGUGCUCGAGUGGCGAACGGGUGAGUAACACGUGAGUAACCUGCCCUUGACUUUGGGAUAACUUCAGGAAACUGGGGCUAAUACCGGAUAGGAGCUCCUGCUGCAUGGUGGGGGUUGGAAAGUUUCGGCGGUUGGGGAUGGACUCGCGGCUUAUCAGCUUGUUGGUGGGGUAGUGGCUUACCAAGGCUUUGACGGGUAGCCGGCCUUAGAGGGUGACCGGCCACAUUGGGACUGAGGUACGGCCCAGACUCCUACGGGAGGCAGCAGUGGGGAAUAUUGCACAAUGGGCGGAAGCCUGAUGCAGCAACGCCGCGUGCGGGAUGACGGCCUUCGGGUUGUAAACCGCUUUCGCCUGUGACGAAGCGUGAGUGACGGUAAUGGGUAAAGAAGCACCGGCUAACUACGUG